rnacentral:rRNA from 1 species
UUAAGUUAUUAAGGGCGCAUGGUGGAUGCCUUGGCACUAGGAGCCGAUGAAGGACGUGACUAACUGCGAUAAGCUUCGGGGAGUUGUAAGUAAACUGUGAUCCGGAGAUUUCCGAAUGGGGAAACCCAGCAGGAGUAAAGACCUGUUAUCACUGAGUGAAUACAUAGCUCAGUUGAAGGUAGACGUGGGGAACUGAAACAUCUAAGUACCCAUAGGAAGAGAAAGAAAAUUCGAUUCCCUGAGUAGCGGCGAGCGAAAAGGGAACAGCCCAAACCAGAGAGCUUGCUCUCUGGGGUUGUAGGACUGGACAUUUGAGUUACCAAGAAACGAAGUAGUUGAAUGAUUUGGGAAGAUCAGCCAGAGAAGGUGAUAGCCCUGUAAGCGAAACUUCGUUUCCUCAGCCCAGUAUCCUGAGUACGGCGGAACACGUGAAACUCCGUCGGAAUCCGGGAGGACCAUCUCCCAAGGCUAAAUACUCCCUAGUGACCGAUAGUGAACCAGUACCGUGAGGGAAAGGUGAAAAGCACCCCGGGAGGGGAGUGAAAUAGUUCCUGAAACCAUGUGCCUACAAGUAGUCAGAGCCCGUUAAUGGGUGAUGGCGUGCCUUUUGUAGAAUGAACCGGCGAGUUACGUUAGCGUGCGAGGUUAAGGCGCAAAGGCCGGAGCCGUAGCGAAAGCGAGUCUGAAUAGGGCGAAUGAGUACGUUGACGUAGACCCGAAACCAGGUGACCUACCCAUGUCCAGGUUGAAGGUGCGGUAAGACGCACUGGAGGACCGAACCCGUGUAUGUUGAAAAAUGCUGGGAUGAGGUGUGGGUAGAGGUGAAAUUCCAAACGAACUUGGAGAUAGCUGGUUCUCUCCGAAAUAGCUUUAGGGCUAGCCUCGGAGUUAAGGAUCGUGGAGGUAGAGCACUGUUUGGACUAGGGGCCCGUCUUGGGUUACUGAAUUCAGAUAAACUCCGAAUGCCACAGAUCUAUAUCCGGGAGUCAGACUGCGAGUGAUAAGAUCCGUAGUCGAAAGGGAAACAGCCCAGACCACCGAUUAAGGUCCCUAAAUAUGUGUUAAGUGGAAAAGGAUGUGGAAUUGCACAGACAACUAGGAUGUUGGCUUAGAAGCAGCCACCAUUUAAAGAGUGCGUAAUAGCUCACUAGUCGAGUGAUCCUGCGCCGAAAAUGUAACGGGGCUAAACACAUUACCGAAAUCGUGGAUGCAACUAUGUUGCAUGGUAGGAGAGCGUUCUAAGGGCGAUGAAGCUAGACCGUAAGGACUGGUGGAGCGCUUAGAAGUGAGAAUGCCGGUAUGAGUAGCGAAAGAUCAGUGAGAAUCUGGUCCACCGUAUGACUAAGGUUUCCUGGGGAAGGCUCGUCCUCCCAGGGUUAGUCGGGACCUAAGCCGAGGCCGAGAGGCGUAGGCGAUGGAUAACAGGUUGAGAUUCCUGUACUGGUUUGAUUUGUUUGAACGAUGGAGGGACGCAGGAGGCUAGAGAUGCGUGCUGUUGGAUAUGCACGUCCAAGCAACAAGUCUGAUGAUGAGUCAAAUGCUUAUCGUCUUAAGGACAAGUUGUGACGGGGAGCGAAAUUAAAGUAGCGAAGUGAUCGAUGUCACACUGCCGAGAAAAGCUUCUAGUUAGGAUCAGACCACCCGUACCGCAAACCGACACAGGUAGUCGAGGCGAGUAGCCUAAGGUGAGCGAGAGAACUCUCGUUAAGGAACUCGGCAAAAUGACCCCGUAACUUCGGGAGAAGGGGUGCUGCACAAUGUGCAGCCGCAGUGAAUAGGCCCAGGCGACUGUUUAUCAAAAACACAGGUUUCUGCAAAAUCGUAAGAUGAAGUAUAGGGGCUGACGCCUGCCCGGUGCUGGAAGGUUAAGAGGAUGGGUUAGCGUAAGCGAAGCUCAGAAUUGAAGCCCCAGUAAACGGCGGCCGUAACUAUAACGGUCCUAAGGUAGCGAAAUUCCUUGUCGGGUAAGUUCCGACCCGCACGAAAGGCGUAACGAUCUGGGCACUGUCUCAACGAGAGACUCGGUGAAAUUAUAAUACCCGUGAAGAUGCGGGUUACCCGCGACAGGACGGAAAGACCCCAUGGAGCUUUACUGUAGCUUGAUAUUGGGUGUUUGUACAACUUGUACAGGAUAGGUAGGAGCCGUAGAAGUCGGAACGCUAGUUUCGAUCGAGGCGCUGGUGGGAUACUACCCUCGUUGUAUGAACACUCUAACCCUCGCCGCUUAUCGCGGCGGGAGACAGUGAAUUUGACAUACCGAUGUUAAAUGAAGCCCGUCUUGCAGUCGCGCCGCGCGCAUUAAAAGGCGGGAAAGGAAUAAAAGGCCAUAUUACAUAUAUGAGAGGGAAGAAACUAUUUUCUGAAGAAGGAUUAGAGUAUAUAACUAAUAUAAUAAGGUAGGAAACAGACUGUAUUUUUGCCGUAUAGCGCGUCAUAUCAUAUUUUGCGCUAUGCGGUUUUUAUAAUAGUUGUUUCGUAACAAGACGCUUAGUAAACGGAUGCGUAAUUUAAUUUAAAUUCAAUAUGAUACGAUAAUAUGGUUUUUGGUUUCGUAUUAUUGAACAAAAAACUAUAAAAUUAUAUGGCAAAACAAGGCAUACUGUGAUAUACUAAAACAUAUAUCAAAAUGGGCAAUAUAAAAUAUGCACAAUUAAGAAAGGAGCAUAUGAUAUGCGGGUAAAAUUUAUUUCAAAAGCGCUUUCGGCGGUUUUGUCGGCAGCUAUGCUGGUGACGUCUCUGCCGACAGCGGCGUUAGCAGUUCAGGCAGAUGAGCCGGAAGCGGCGACAGCUCAGAAGCCAAAUUUGUUAAA